GUUCUGGUGAUCGGACCGGUGCUUUGGCACUAGACGGCCUAGACUUGGAAUCGAGACCACCACCACUUUCAGCCGUGUAGCUGACAUUGAACAAGUUACUCAACCCCUCUCCAAGCUUCACGUUCCCCAGGGCAAGCUUGGAAGCCAGGCACUGAAGAUGACAAAGGUUCCAUCAGCCAAACUCAUGAAAGAGGGACAGCCUGACACCCUGCUGACCUAACCUGUUCUGGUACAUGAGCGAGAAAUAAACUUCUAUUGUGUGUAAACCAGACUCCAUUGUUUGGCUCUCCUGGUGAUAGCAGUGAGGCUACCCUUCCAGAAGGGCAGAGCUGACUACAGUCCCAUCCAGAUCUGACAGAGGGGCUUGGCUCUCAGUUAUUCACAGAGAAAAUUGCUGUGGAAUGGAAACUUCCAUUCUCCCAUUUAGGAAAAUCCGUUUCUCUCUUGAGAGACUAGGGAAAACAAUGGGAUUGGGUGGGACCUGGGUUAACAACCUAUCUGACAAGAUUUUCACGCUCUUUGCGAUGGAGGCAAGAGUGGGGAGGUCAGUGAACACACAGAUCCGCUGCACUUAAGACCCCCACGAACCCUUACAACUCCCAAGCACCCAAAGGCGUUAGGAUAUGGGAUGUGGGAGACGAGAGGAUGGAAGGGAAAAGCGAGCAAGAGCUAUACAUGUGCCAGUCAGAUUGUGAGCUCAGGAUGAGAAAUCUGUGCAUGGAAAAUACUUGCAUAUAAAACAACUUUUAUGAUUAAAUAAAUAACUUUUACGUGUGUAAACCAUCA